rnacentral:rRNA from 1 species
AAUCAACGCUGGCCGUCUGCCUACACACAUGCAAGUCGAACGCGAAAGGGGCUUCGGCCCUGAGUAGAGUGGCAAACGGGUGAGUAACACGUGGGUGACCUGCCUUCGAGUGGGGGAUAACGUCCCGAAAGGGACGCUAAUACCGCAUGACAUCCUGCCUUUGGACAGGCGGAGAUCAAAGCCGGGGAUCGCAAGGCCUGGCGCUUGAAGAGGGGCCCGCGCCUGAUUAGCUCGUUGGUGGGGUAAUGGCUCACCAAUGCAACGAUCAGUAUCCGGCCUAAGAGGGCGGACGGACACACUGGGACUGAGACACGGCCCAGACUCCUACGGGAGGCAGCAGUGGGGAAUUGUUCGCAAUGGGCGCAAGCCUGACGACGCAACGCCGCGUGGAGGAUGAAGAUCUUCGGGUCGUAAACUCCUGUCAAGCGGGAAGAAACCCGCGGGGGUGAAUAAUCCCUGCGGCUGACGGUACCGCUUAAGGAAGCCCCGGCUAACUCCGUGCCAGCAGCCGCGGUAAUACGGGGGGGGCAAGCGUUGUUCGGAAUUACUGGGCGUAAAG